GCCUGUGAUGAUUCAACCCAACUGUUUGAGGUGUUGUGGAGCCAAGACCCUGUUUACAGGGAGAACCUACUUGGUGAAGCUACAUUCAUAUGACGUCAAUGGGUUCAACUGAGGG